UUUACCCUCCCUAAUUUCUCACCUAAAAAAUGCUUAGACUCAGCCCGACCAAUAGCCACUGCAUUCCUUCCUUCAACUCUGGCCAGUAGCACUCCUCUCACUAAACAUUUUCCUCUCUUCCUUUGUUCCUUUUGUUUUCCUCUCUACAAAAUUUUUCUUACUCUAAAAUUUUUCUGCUCUUUUUUUAUCCAUUUAAGUAGAUUUUGCUUCAUUUACCUUCAUCGAAGCCUCCUUCAGACUUGGGUCACUCAACUUCUAGAUGCUUCAUCAACUCGACUAUCUUUUUCUCAUAUAUCUGAGUGGUAUCGACUACUACUUUCUGGAACCAAAAGAAAUGAGAUCCAGAAGAUUUUGUGCUGGUUGUCUGUAUGGUCGAUUUGCACAAUAUUGGAACCUUUAACAUAGAUACGGGAAUCAAGGUUGGUUAUUUAAAUGAGCAGGAAAGAAUGUUAGAAAAAGUUUUACCCCAUGCUAUGUUGAAAAGGGAUUGAAAAGGGAUUAGGCAAUCGUUUAUGACAUGCUCAAUGGAAAAGACAAAAGCGGCUUUGGUUGGGACGAGCAUAGACAACUUAUUAUUGCUGAAGAUGCUGUGUGGAACUCAUAUAUAAGUGUAAAAAUUAUUUAAAGUCUUUAUUAUCUUGUUUUGACUAAACUUAUAUCUAAUAUAGAUUCCUCAUUUUUUAUAGAGUCAUAAAAAAGUCGGUCAAUUCAGACAUCGUAGUUUCCCAUGUUAUGACCAAGUUACUGCCAUCUACGCAAAAGAUCGAGCCACUAGAAAAGAUGCUCAAACAACUGUUGAUAUUAUUGAAGAAAUAGAUGCUGAAGAUGUAGCUACUGCAAAUACUCAUGAAGAAAGAAAUGAUUUGCAUGGAUGCGAAGUUGAUGUUUCUUUGGAAGAGAUGGAUCUCUCAGCUACACAACCGCAACCAUCUAGAAACCAAGAUGAUUCCACAUUUUCAAAAAAAAAAAAUUCCGAUGCAAGUGAACAUAUUUAUUCUACUUCAUUUACUGAUGCUGCCACGUUAUUAACGGAAAACAUGCAAACUGUUGGCCUUGAAAUAAAUAGGAGCAUUGCCUCUGAAGUGCUAAUUCAACAAAAUUCAAAAAUGGUCAUUCAAUAAAAUGCUCUAAAAUUAUAUCCAACCUUAUGUGAAGUAAAAGGAUUAACUGAGGAUAAGUGCUACCGCGUGUUGAGCAAAGUUCCAAACCAUCCAACGCAAAUGCUCAUUGUUUUUAGUCUACCUUCUUCUGUGUGAUUGAAAUGGGUGAGAAGAUAUCUUUCUAGCCAUUAAAAAUCCUGAUUGUGUUGGUGAUGGUUUUGUAACUUUUUGUAUAUGUAAUAUUUGGGGUGGUAUAAUGACAUGAUAGAAUGCCAUUACAAUGUUGUAAUUUUUUGAUGUUGUAAAAUUUAACAUAUAGAUUAUGGCAUACAAGCUAACUUUUGUUAAUAUAUGGACAUUGUAUUUGGAUGUAAAAUAUUAUU